UACGUAGGGUGCGAGCGUUGUCCGGAAUUAUUGGGCGUAAAGGGCGCGUAGGCGGCUCGGCACGUCCGUUGUGAAAUCGCCCGGCUCAACUGGGCGGGGUCAGCGGAUACGGUCGAGCUUGAGCAAGCUAGGGGGUAAUGGAAUUCCCGGUGUAGUGGUGGAAUGCGUAGAUAUCGGGAGGAACACCAGUGGCGAAGGCGGUUACCUGGGGCUUUGCUGACGCUGAUGCGCGAAAGCGUGGGGAGCAAACAGG
rnacentral:rRNA from 1 species